GUCGCUGGCAGCGCUCGCUAGUCACUUGGUAUUCUCUGCUCGCUCAGUUAGCGACAGGGUUAUUUUGUUAAUGGAAAGCACAUUUUGUAGUAUUAGGUCAGAUUGUGUAUGAAAUUGUGAAUGACAAAGCAUUAAGAGCAGGAUGCAAGGAGGUCAAAUUCUGAAAUGCACUCGGUGAGCUUGGGCCACGCACCGUCUCCUCCAUACCAAUUUACCUCACAAGGUUGUUUUGAAGAUAAAAUUGGGAAAGGGUUAGGGCCGCUUCCCUGAGCUCUUUACAAGAAAUGCGGGGUGAAAAUUUAACAAAGCACGUUCAUCGUAAUAACUGCACUUCAGAACCAAUCUGGUGACAAUAGUUUAGUGUGACACUGCUCUCAUAACAGAAAUGCACCAAAUGGCAUGUUUAGAUUCUGCAAGAUACUCUUCUAAAUGAAGCUGAAUGCCCCAUCCUGCCUUCCACACUGUUACAGAGGGUCCCUGCACUUUCCAGACCAUCUGCAGAGGGCAGGAGGAAUAGUGAUUAUCACAUUUGUCCCAUCUUUCUGCAGGAGCAUCCAUAAGCAGGGUUACACCCAUGGGAACUCUAGAGCAACCCAUUGUGUUUCUAAGGCAAAUUGUCAAGACUAAAAGAAAAGGACCCAGCCCAAAAACCUAACACAAGGUACGUGUGAGUUCAUAUGUGUGAACAAGGACCUGUGGCAACAGCGGGAACCACAACCUUCGAGUCCAGCUGUGGACUUCUCAGAGGCAUCUGGUUAGUCUUUAGGGGAAGCAGGAUGAUGGAUUAAAAAGACUUUUGGAAGGAUUCAGCAGGACUCCUCUGUACUCUUAUGAAUGGAUCUAUUGUAUUUCUAUUGUACAGGGGCAUCAUUGUAUAAUAACCUAAUGUGAAGCAUAUGGAAGAAGUGUUAUGAAAAUGUGGUACUCUCUAGCCGAUCUAAAAUCCAUUCAAAGUAGCAUAUUUCUUGUAAACUUCACAAACUUUGGGAUUUCAACUUCAGGGCAGAAGGACGUCAAGCUGGAUGGUCCAUACAGAGCGGUCAUUUCUCAAAGAAGUUUCCACUGGCCGCCCUUUUCUAAUGAAGCAUGAACCCAAUUUGGCAAGAGGUGCCACUUUCUUGCAAGCAACUCAUUUGCUACAUUUUCCCAGGGUUUUGAGUGAAGCAUAAAUUUGGCAUCCAUACUCUGUAACUGGCAUUGCACAGUGCCACUCUGGACAGAUGGGGAGAGGGGCUGGCACGCUAGUGAGCCUCAUGCAGGCAACAAGAGGUCAGAUUUCUCUCCAGGAAUGUUGAAACAUCAGCACAUCUAGAUCUUCAGUAUCUGAGGCACACGUGUUUCUUGGCAACAGCAAGGUUUCCUGCUGAAUAUCUUGGCAUGGACCGCAAGGAAAUUCAGUGUGUUCUUCCGUGGUUCUCCACACCAUGGGAAUACAUAUAAUUUCUGCCAUCAUUGCCCUAUGACUAUAAACAGAAAAGGACCUGUAUUUUGCAAAUUAGACUUUCUUAAAUAAUAGAUGAAGAACUGUUAAAAUGCCAUCAUAGCUUUCACGGACUAUGACUCUUUUAUUAGUUAAUGGUUGGUUUAUUCUGGUCAGAGAGCACUAGAAAGUGUGGUUUGGCAUUCACUACCAACAGCAAAUGUCACACUUUAAAACUUUGUUCCAGUUCUCUCUCCUGUUUUAAUCUUUCUUCUUUUUUCAGAUUUCAAUUCCUCUCUCCUCUUCAAGACAUGAGGAAUUCUGUGUGUUCUCAUACGUACACACAAAAGUGAUAAAAACAAACAAACUUGAGGGCAUUCCUUUAUUUUUGCUAAAGGCAAUUCUGCAUGGUUUAUUUCCAUUUAUUUGCUUUUUUUUCCUCAGGAAUUACAGUUUUCUAUUUCAUCCAUUACAGCACAGUGUUUUUCACAUUUGAAUAGCUGCAUCAAUAUGAAUCCUUUAUAAAAACCUUAAAAAACAAACUUUGCCAAGUCCCAGAAUACAGAAGCUAAUUCAGAACUCCAGCACUCAGCUGCCUCAUGAAUAAGGGAGACUGUGUGGUUGAUACUUUGAAGCUGUAGCUGUUAAGCCAUACAGAAUAUUUACCUCAAUAAAUCAUUAUAAGAAACUAAGGUACAAUUAUACCCACAGAGAAAUAA